CCUACGGGUCGCAGCAGUGGGGAAUAUUGCACAAUGGGCGCAAGCCUGAUGCAGCCAUGCCGCGUGUGUGAAGAAGGCCUUCGGGUUGUAAAGCACUUUCAGCGAGGAGGAAGGUGGUGAGCUUAAUACGCUCAUCGAUUGACGUUACUCGCAGAAGAAGCACCGGCUAACUCCGUGCCAGCAGCCGCGGUAAUACGGAGGGUGCAAGCGUUAAUCGGAAUUACUGGGCGUAAAGCGCACGCAGGCGAUUUGUUAAGUCAGAUGUGAAAUCCCCGGGCUCAACCUGGGAACUGCAUUUGAAACUGGCAAGCUAGAGUCUCGUAGAGGGGGGUAGAAUUCCAGGUGUAGCGGUGAAAUGCGUAGAGAUCUGGAGGAAUACCGGUGGCGAAGGCGGCCCCCUGGACGAAGACUGACGCUCAGGUGCGAAAGCGUGGGGAGCAAACAGGAUUAGAUACCCUUGUAGUC
rnacentral:rRNA from 1 species